UCUCCGUAGGUGAACCUGCGGAGGGAUCAUUACAGAGUUCAUGCCCUACCGGGUAGAUCUCCCACCCUAUGUUAUUAUUACUUUGUUGCUUUGGCGGGCCGUUAGGCUCCGGCCCGACUACCGGCCCCGGCUGGUAAGCGCCCGCCAGAGGACCCAAAACCCUGAAUAUUAGUGUCGUCUGAGUACUAUAUAAUAGUUAGAACUUUCAACAACGGAUCUCUUGGUUCUGGCAUCAAUGAAGAACGCAGC
rnacentral:misc_RNA from 1 species